rnacentral:rRNA from 1 species
UACGUAGGGUGCAAGCGUUGUCCGGAAUUAUUGGGCGUAAAGAGCUCGUAGGCGGUUUGUCGCGUCUGCUGUGAAAACUCGGGGCUUAACCCCGGGCCUGCAGUGGGUAUGGGCAGACUAGAGUGCGGUAGGGGAGACUGGAAUUCCUGGUGUAGCGGUGAAAUGCGCAGAUAUCAAGAGGAACACCUGAGGUGAAGACGGGUUGCUGGGCUGACACUGACGCUGAGGCGCGAAAGCCAGGGGAGCAAACGGG